AAAUUGAAGAGUUUGAUCAUGGCUCAGAUUGAACGCUGGCGGCAGGCCUAACACAUGCAAGUCGAACGGUAACAGAAAGCAGCUUGCUGCUUUGCUGACGAGUGGCGGACGGGUGAGUAAUGUCUGGGAAACUGCCUGAUGGAGGGGGAUAACUACUGGAAACGGUGGCUAAUACCGCAUAACGUCGCAAGACCAAAGAGGGGGACCUUCGGGCCUCUUGCCAUCAGAUGUGCCCAGAUGGGAUUAGCUAGUUGGUGAGGUAACGGCUCACCAAGGCGACGAUCCCUAGCUGGUCUGAGAGGAUGACCAGCCACACUGGAACUGAGACACGGUCCAGACUCCUACGGGAGGCAGCAGUGGGGAAUAUUGCACAAUGGGCGCAAGCCUGAUGCAGCCAUGCCGCGUGUAUGAAGAAGGCCUUCGGGUUGUAAAGUACUUUCAGCGGGGAGGAAGGUGUUGUGGUUAAUAACCGCAGCAAUUGACGUUACCCGCAGAAGAAGCACCGGCUAACUCCGUGCCAGCAGCCGCGGUAAUACGGAGGGUGCAAGCGUUAAUCGGAAUUACUGGGCGUAAAGCGCACGCAGGCGGUCUGUCAAGUCGGAUGUGAAAUCCCCGGGCUCAACCUGGGAACUGCAUUCGAAACUGGCAGGCUUGAGUCUUGUAGAGGGGGGUAGAAUUCCAGGUGUAGCGGUGAAAUGCGUAGAGAUCUGGAGGAAUACCGGUGGCGAAGGCGGCCCCCUGGACAAAGACUGACGCUCAGGUGCGAAAGCGUGGGGAGCAAACAGGAUUAGAUACCCUGGUAGUCCACGCCGUAAACGAUGUCUACUUGGAGGUUGUGCCCUUGAGGCGUGGCUUCCGGAGCUAACGCGUUAAGUAGACCGCCUGGGGAGUACGGCCGCAAGGUUAAAACUCAAAUGAAUUGACGGGGGCCCGCACAAGCGGUGGAGCAUGUGGUUUAAUUCGAUGCAACGCGAAGAACCUUACCUGGUCUUGACAUCCACGGAAGUUUUCAGAGAUGAGAAUGUGCCUUCGGGAACCGUGAGACAGGUGCUGCAUGGCUGUCGUCAGCUCGUGUUGUGAAAUGUUGGGUUAAGUCCCGCAACGAGCGCAACCCUUAUCCUUUGUUGCCAGCGGUCCGGCCGGGAACUCAAAGGAGACUGCCAGUGAUAAACUGGAGGAAGGUGGGGAUGACGUCAAGUCAUCAUGGCCCUUACGACCAGGGCUACACACGUGCUACAAUGGCGCAUACAAAGAGAAGCGACCUCGCGAGAGCAAGCGGACCUCAUAAAGUGCGUCGUAGUCCGGAUUGGAGUCUGCAACUCGACUCCAUGAAGUCGGAAUCGCUAGUAAUCGUGGAUCAGAAUGCCACGGUGAAUACGUUCCCGGGCCUUGUACACACCGCCCGUCACACCAUGGGAGUGGGUUGCAAAAGAAGUAGGUAGCUUAACCUUCGGGAGGGCGCUUACCACUUUGUGAUUCAUGACUGGGGUGAAGUCGUAACAAGGUAACCGUAGGGGAACCUGCGGUUGGA
rnacentral:rRNA from 1 species